AUUGAACGCUGGCGGCAUGCCUUACACAUGCAAGUCGAACGGCAGCACGGGAGCAAUCCUGGUGGCGAGUGGCGAACGGGUGAGUAAUACAUCGGAACGUGCCCAGUAGUGGGGGAUAACCCGGCGAAAGCCGGACUAAUACCGCAUACGACCUACGGGUGAAAGCGGGGGAUCGCAAGACCUCGCGCUAUCGGAGCGGCCGAUGUCAGAUUAGCUUGUUGGUGGGGAAAAGCCUACCAAGGCGACGAUCUGUAGCUGGUCUGAGAGGACGACCAGCCACACUGGGACUGAGACACGGCCCAGACUCCUACGGGAGGCAGCAGUGGGGAAUUUUGGACAAUGGGCGCAAGCCUGAUCCAGCCAUGCCGCGUG
rnacentral:rRNA from 1 species